GACGAACGCUGGCGGCGUGCUUAACACAUGCAAGUCGAACGGAAAGGCCCUGCUUUUGUGGGGUGCUCGAGUGGCGAACGGGUGAGUAACACGUGAGUAACCUGCCCUUGACUUUGGGAUAACUUCAGGAAACUGGGGCUAAUACCGGAUAGGAGCUCCUGCUGCAUGGUGGGGGUUGGAAAGUUUCGGCGGUUGGGGAUGGACUCGCGGCUUAUCAGCUUGUUGGUGGGGUAGUGGCUUACCAAGGCUUUGACGGGUAGCCGGCCUGAGAGGGUGACCGGCCCCAUGGGGGCUGAGAUCGCCCCCGGCCUCAUCGGGGAGGCAGCAGGGGGAAUUAUGGCACAGGGGGCGGAGGCCUGAGGCAGCAGCCCCGGGGGCGGGAGGCCGGCUGGCGGUUUGAAACCCGCUUCCCCCUGGGACGAAGCGGGAGUGAGGGUAGGGGGUAAAGAAACACCGGCUACCUAGGUC
rnacentral:rRNA from 1 species